UAUUUUGCUGCAUCAAAAGAAUAAAUCGCUAGCUACGCUUAACAUAUUACUAAGAUAGCUCCUAUUUAAAGAGGUCAUGAGUUUGACUAACAAAAUAGUUGAUCUCCAUAAUCAAUUAUGUGACAAAUAAUAACAUUAGAAUAUCUCUAUACACACAAAAAAAAAAAUACAUAGUACUAGAAAAUUUAAGGAAAUUACGUUGUCUAGAGUUUCAAAGGUAGUGAACCCAUCUCCGCAAAUGCCCGGUGGAAAGGCUGUUAGGCCAGCAAUUUCAGACAUGGUAGUUUGUGAUGGAGGAGCUGGAGCAGAUUGGGAUGGCAUUGGAUUUAUAGACGAAUAUGCAAAGCUAGCUAGGACAGUACUUAAGCUUCAAGUUUUUGCUGCUGCUAUUUGGUGCACAAUAUUGCUUCUGCAUGGAUUCCCGUAUAUAUAUAGAGAUCAAGCAAAGGAAGGUAAAACAAUGAAUCUCAAACUUCCAUUACACUAAUCAAAGGGUAGGAAAUCAAGAUGUGGAGAAAAUCAAUUCAGGUUUUUCCACAAUCUAGAUGGAAACGUGUUUUUUUUUUUUUUGAGAAUGAAGAUGGAAACGUGUAAGAAAGGCAGCAGUUGGGGUAAAACCUAGAUUGUUCAGGGUGAUACGUGGGGGCGGCCUUUGGAUUUACAGUAAAAUAUUCGACUCAGCAGCCGGUUAUUUUGGAAACUGAUGCCCUAAUUGAUAAUCAUCGAUUGACUAGAGCACGAGAACAGAUCAACAGAACCAAUAGUCUUUCUUCUCAAAAAAGCAAAAAAGAAAAAAGAAAAAAAGAGAACAAAUAGUCUUCAUGGCCGGGGAUCAAAUAGUCUAUGAUGACUUGGGCGGUGUACUUAUCUGACCUGUAGUUUGACUGACCGGGGCAUUCUUCUUAUAGUCUCCGACUAAUAGUGAGAAUUAACGGCUGCUUUUGUCUCUUACCUUCUUUUUGUUUAAUUCUUUGAUCAGACUGUGCGCCGCGCUUUUUCUAAUUUUACAUGUGCAUAUUAAUCUAUCAGCUUGCAUCUCUUCCUCGACCUUUCUUUCAGGAAUAUCUGGGAGCGUAGUUAGUUAAUUCGCUAAUUAUAGGCGCCGCACACGUAUUAGUUUUUUAAAUUAUAAACCUGUGUAUGUAUCCUAAACUAUUUUAAGGAAAAAUACCCUAAUGCCCAAAUAUUUGAAAACUAAAGCCCAUUCCAAUUAAAGUCUUAUCUCAUAGCCCAUUCCAAUGAUUGUUACUAAAAUAACAAUACUACCCAUCAUUAAUUCGUAACUGCCCCCUCCCUCUAAACCCCAAUCGUUGUCGCGCUCUCUCUCCAAGACACCAUAACUGCUCUCUCUCUCUCUCU
rnacentral:lncRNA from 1 species